ACUUGCCGGCGAGCGCGACGGGUGAGUAAGCGGAAUGCCAGUCGAGGGGGAUACAGUUGAAACGACUGCUAUACGAUACGCCUACGGGAAAGCAGGGACUUCUGCUUGCGCGAUGGAUUGCCCAGGUGGGAUUACUAUUGGUGAGUAAUGGCUCACAAGCGACAUCCCUACUGGUCUGAAGGAUGACCAGCCACACUGGAACUGAGAACACGGUCCAGACUCCUACGGGAGGCAGCAGUGGGGAAUAUUACACAAUGGGGGAAGCCCUGAUGCAGCCAUGCCGCGUGUGUGAAGAAGGCCUUCGGGUUGUAAAGCACUUUCAGCGAGGAGGAAAGGUCAGUACUAAUAUCUGCUGGCUGUGACGUUCUCGCAAAGAAGCACCGGGUUUAACUCCGUGCCACACCGCGGUAUACGGAGGGUGCAACGUUAUCGGAAUUUACUGGGGCGUUAAAGCGCAACGCCAGCGGUCUGUCCAAGUCGGAUUGUGAAUUCCCCGGGGCUCAAACCUGGGGAAACUGAUUUCGAAACUUGGGGCAGGGGUUAAAAAAGUUCUUNGUAAAAGGGGGGUAAAAUUCCCAAGGUGUUACGGUGAAAAUGGGC
rnacentral:rRNA from 1 species